rnacentral:tRNA from 7 species
GGGGCUGUAGCGCAGCUGGUAGCGCACCUCGUUCGCAACGAGGGGGUCAGGGGUUCGAGUCCCCUCAGCUCCA